AACUGAAUAAGAAUGAGCUGCAGCGAGUAGUUGUUGUAGUAGAGAAUUUAGAAGCAGAUGGAGAAAGAAAAGAAUAGAAAAGAUAGAAAAAUAGGCAUGAAAGUGCGCGUGUGACG
ensembl:ncRNA F55F3.9 ncRNA